UACGUAGGGUGCGAGCGUUGUCCGGAAUUAUUGGGCGUAAAGAGCUCGUAGGCGGCUUGUCGCGUCGGUCGUGAAAACUUGGGGCUUAACCCUGAGCUUGCGGUCGAUACGGGCAUGACUGGAGUUCGGUAGGGGAGACUGGAAUUCCUGGUGUAGCGGUGAAAUGCGCAGAUAUCAGGAGGAACACCGGUGGCGAAGGCGGGUCUCUGGGCCGAUACUGACGCUGAGGAGCGAAAGCGUGGGGAGCGAACAGG
rnacentral:rRNA from 1 species